ACAGAGAGCUUGCUCUCGGGUGACGAGCGGCGGACGGGUGAGUAAUGUCUGGGAAACUGCCUGAUGGAGGGGGAUAACUACUGGAAACGGUAGCUAAUACCGCAUAACGUCGCAAGACCAAAGUGGGGGACCUUCGGGCCUCAUGCCAUCAGAUGUGCCCAGAUGGGAUUAGCUAGUAGGUGGGGUAAUGGCUCACCUAGGCGACGAUCCCUAGCUGGUCUGAGAGGAUGACCAGCCACACUGGAACUGAGACACGGUCCAGACUCCUACGGGAGGCAGCAGUGGGGAAUAUUGCACAAUGGGCGCAAGCCUGAUGCAGCCAUGCCGCGUGUAUGAAGAAGGCCUUCGGGUUGUAAAGUACUUUCAGCGAGGAGGAAGGCGUUAAGGUUAAUAACCUUAGCGAUUGACGUUACUCGCAGAAGAAGCACCGGCUAACUCCGUGCCAGCAGCCGCGGUAAUACGGAGGGUGCAAGCGUUAAUCGGAAUUACUGGGCGUAAAGCGCACGCAGGCGGUCUGUCAAGUCGGAUGUGAAAUCCCCGGGCUCAACCUGGGAACUGCAUUCGAAACUGGCAGGCUAGAGUCUUGUAGAGGGGGGUAGAAUUCCAGGUGUAGCGGUGAAAUGCGUAGAGAUCUGGAGGAAUACCGGUGGCGAAGGCGGCCCCCUGGACAAAGACUGAC
rnacentral:rRNA from 1 species